rnacentral:rRNA from 1 species
AACGAACGCUGGCGGCAUGCCUAACACAUGCAAGUCGAACGAGACCUUCGGGUCUAGUGGCGCACGGGGGCGUAACGCGUGGGAACCUGCCCUUAGGUUCGGAAUAACUCCCCGAAAGGUGUGCUAAUACCGGAUAGGGUCUUCGGACCAAAGAGUUAUCGCCUUUGGGUGGGGCUGGGUUGGAUUAGGUAGUUGGUAGGGGAAAAGCCGACCAAGGCGACGAUCCAUAGCUGGUGGGAGAGGAUGAUCAUCCACACUGGGACUGAGACACGGCCCAGACUCCUACGGGAGGCAGGAGUAGGGAGUAUUGUGGAAUGGGCGAUAGCCUGAUACAGCCGUGCCGCGUGAGUGAUGAAGGCCUUAGGGUUGUAAAGCUCUUUUACACGAGAUGAUAAUGACAGUACCGGGAGAAGAAGCUCCGGCUAACUCCGUG